rnacentral:rRNA from 1 species
CUACGGGGGGCAGCAGUGGGGAAUAUUGCACAAUGGAGGAAACUCUGAUGCAGCAACGCCGCGUGGAGGAUGACACUUUUCGGAGCGUAAACUCCUUUUAUAUAGGAAGAAGAUGACGGUACUAUAUGAAUAAGCGCCGGCUAACUCCGUGCCAGCAGCCGCGGUAAUACGGAGGGCGCAAGCGUUACUCGGAAUCACUGUGCGUAAAGAGCGUGUAGGCGGAUUAAAAAGUCAGAAGUGAAAUCCUAUAGCUUAACUAUAGAACUGCUUCUGAAACUCUUAAUCUAGAAUAUGGGAGAGGUAGAUGGAAUUUCUGGUGUAGGGGUAAAAUCCGUAGAGAUCAGAAGGAAUACCGAUUGCGAAGGCGAUCUAAUAGAACAUUAUUGACGCUGAGACGCGAAAGCGUGGGGAGCAAACAGGAUUAGAUACCCUCGUAGUC